UACGUAGGGUGCAAGCGUUGUCCGGAAUUAUUGGGCGUAAAGAGCUCGUAGGCGGUUUGUCGCGUCUGCUGUGAAACCCGAGGCUCAACCUCGGGCCUGCAGUGGGUACGGGCAGACUAGAGUGCGGUAGGGGAGAUUGGAAUUCCUGGUGUAGCGGUGGAAUGCGCAGAUAUCAGGAGGAACACCAAUGGCGAAGGCAGAUCUCUGGGCCGUAACUGACGCUGAGGAGCGAAAGCGUGGGGAGCGAACAGG
rnacentral:rRNA from 1 species